AUACGAAGGGGGCUAGCGUUGUUCGGAAUCACUGGGCGUAAAGCGCGCGUAGGUGGAUCAAUUAGUUGAGGGUGAAAUCCCGGGGCUCAACCUCGGAACUGCCUUCAAUACUGUUGAUCUCGAGACCGAGAGAGGUGAGUGGAAUUCCUAGUGUAGAGGUGAAAUUCGUAGAUAUUAGGAAGAACACCAGUGGCGAAGGCGGCUCACUGGCUCGGUACUGACGCUGAGGUGCGAAAGCGUGGGGAGCAAACAGGAUUAGAAACCCGAGUAGUCC
rnacentral:rRNA from 1 species